rnacentral:ncRNA from 1 species
CCUUAUAUUUGGCAAAUCAGUGGAAACGCUGAGACGCAAAGCUACGGGUCUAAGGGCGUCUGCCUAUGAUCGCCGGGUUGCUAAC